UCCUGAGAGGAGCACUUAGCUCAAGUGGGGACAGUCCUGGAUCAGAUUCAGAGAAAUGCUAUUUGGGAUGGCAGAAGUUCGGUAUCUGGGUAACUGGGUGGGGUGUGGAAAGCAAUGUCCAGAGCCAGCCAAGAUAGAGGCAGUUGUGGACUGGCCCAUACCCCACACCCCACACCAAGACCCUGGUCCUAGCUUUUCUGGGCAGAGCCAGAAAAGCUAGAGUGUUCUGCAAGGAGGAGAGCCUGUCACUAGAGCCAUUUAACUUCACCAUCUCUUACAGACCGGGGAAGCAAAAUGGCAACACCGAUGGGUUAUCGAGGCAGACAGACCUCAGCCCAGAAUAACUUUGGUUCUAUACAGCCUUAAGUUGCCCUGAAAAGGGGUCAAACCGUGUCUGCCAGAGUGUUCUGCAAGGAGGGAGCCAUGUUACAAAAAUCCCCUCUGUCUGCUACAACC